rnacentral:lncRNA from 1 species
UGGGGUCUGCAGAAAGCAGGAACACUCCUGCAGCCUUCAUGCCACUUUCCUUGGAACAAAGUAUUGGGGCACCCAGGAGGGUGCACAAGGAAAGCAGCCAUUUACUGGUACUGUUAUUUGCACUGUGAUUUGGUACCUGGCUGGUCUGGGAAUUCUGGCACCAAGGACCAGACAGUGGUUUGGACUUCUUUUAGUUAGUUAGGGAAAAAAAAGCCAACCAAGGCUGUGUGGAAGGCAGUUUCUGAGCAAAGGAAUCAUGAGCACCUGCUCCGGCUCUGUCCUCCCUUCUCCUACCACGCUGGCUGUGACUGCACAGGCAUCUGAUGGAGCUGGCAUCUCAUGUUUUAGAGAAUAAACCCAAGUAAAGGCAUCCUGGAUAAUAUCACUCAGAUAGCACCGAUUCAACUCCUGACCUGGCAGACAGUGCUGGGUGUCCCACCGUGCUCCAUUGAGUGCACUAAGCCUCACAUAAGCCCACUAAGCCACUGGGCUACUUUGGUCAAGGCCUCACCAGCACAUGCAAAGAAGGGGGAAGCUGUUCAUGUGUGACGACUCAC